UACGUAGUGACCGAGCGUUGUCCGGAAUCAUUGGGCGUAAAGAGCGUGUAGGCGGCCACUUAAGUCCUGCGUGAAAUCUUGCGGCUCAACCGCAAGCGGUCGUGGGAAACUGGGUGGCUAGAGUGCGGGAGAGGAGAGUGGAAUUCCUGGUGUAGCGGUGGAAUGCGCAGAUAUCAGGAAGAACACCCGUGGCGAAGGCGGCUCUCCGGAACGCAACUGACGCUGAGACGCGAAAGCGUGGGGAGCAAACAGG
rnacentral:rRNA from 1 species